UCAAAAAGUCUUUUCUAUUUUUGCAGACUAAAAAUUAAUUUAGGGUAUAGCAUAACUUGCAGUGUUCACAAAACAUUGUGUAGUAUCAGGCCACUUAUAUGGAAUUUGCAUGCAAAUUUAAAUUAGUGUGAGUGUGCCUUAUGAUGAAUGACACCCCAUUCAGUGUUGGUUCCUGCCUAGCACUCAGUGCUGUUGUGAUAGGUUCUGGUUCAAGUGACCCUGCAGUUGGGCUCAGUGAGUU